UACGGAGGGUGCAAACGUUGCUCGGAAUCAUUGGGCGUAAAGCGCACGUAGGUGGUCUGGUAAGUCGGGUGUGAAAGCCCUCGGCUUAACCGAGGAAGUGCAUUCGAAACUGCCAGACUUGAGUACUGAAGAGGGUCGCGGAAUUCCCGGUGUAGAGGUGAAAUUCGUAGAUAUCGGGAGGAACACCAGUGGCGAAGGCGGCGACCUGGGCAGAUACUGACACUGAGGUGCGAAAGCGUGGGGAGCAAACAGGG
rnacentral:rRNA from 1 species